UAUCUUACCUGAAGUAGCUUUCAGUUAAACCUAAUGGUGGAGCCACCACUGCCAAACACACCAACUAACGGCGCAAAUCCAGCUUCCUCCGGGCUCUAAGCGGCAGCGCCGUCCUAGAGUCCGCCUCGGCUAAAUCGGUAAUCAGUCCACCCCUAUCGUCCAUGAAUCUCACUACCGUGAUGCCAAGAAAUGGAAAGUAUCCUUAUCGUCAGCCUCUGCUGCUGCUCUUUUGGCGAAUUUAGGCGUGAGGCAACCUUCGAAGGCCCUCCCACUUACCUAAAUCGGCCCCAGCGAACCCCACGAUUACUCAUCUGUCGCUGCUGACAGCAGGAAUCUAAAAAACACACAUGCCGUCGGGAUCUGGAGGAUUAGCAGGUAGGAAGGAAGUGGUGGUCACGGAUGGCAGGUCCUUCAGUUCGAGCUGGUCCUAGAAGGUUGAUUUUGAGCAGAAGUCUUCAACUUGAAAUCCAAUGUCAAAGAGGAGCCCGGGCAUGUGGUUAUCGGGGGAACUACGACAAUAGUGCUCUGAGAGCCCAUCCAAUAGGAGGGAUACAAGCGAGGCCACCGCCAUUGCCCUUGAAGCAGAAGACCCUUCAGAGAUGGACCGGGGGAAUGGGGCAACUAGAACUGAAAGUUUCAGUUUGUGUUGGACGGUGUGGUUGAAAUUGGCUGAAUCAAAUGGGCCUUGGUAGUUAUGCUUCAGUUUUCGAGUUUUUUUUUUGGGGAAUCAGUUUUCGAGUUAAAUGAAGUCGAUGAGGAGGUUUACCGUUACUUAAGUUAGAAUACAUAAUUGACAUGAGCGUCAAUGCCCCUAGUUCUUGGUGAAAGAUGUGCAGUGCCAUCCAAAAGCUUAGCAAUGGUCCUUCCUGAGUGCAGUGGAGUGAAAGCAUGCUGUUUAGGGAAUCAUGGACUCCAUCUCUAGAAAAUGAUUAGAAUAAGAAGCAAACCAGGGAGCAGAAGG